CUCUGCUGGUGUUUUGUGAGUGUUCCUAGGAUAGGGAUACUUGAAAGGAUUCAGAGUAGGCUGCAAGCCUCUGGCCUACAUCAUAUUGACCUGAGAAAGGAGAAAAAACAACCUAGGUCCAACACAUUUAUUUAUCAUUAAGAAGCAUGUAGCUCCAGCAAUAAGAAGAGCAUUACAUAAGACUCCAAACAUGAUUAGCUGUUAUGGACUGCCUAUAGACAGCCAGGAAUGUAUCUCACAUCAGUGAGUGAUCUCUCUGAGUGGGCCAUCAAGGAAAUUGCUGAAUUUCAAGGAGAAAUAUCUGUCCUCUACCAAUGGAGAAAAGGAGGGUAUAGAAACUUAAAGUAACAGAAGAAGUGGAUGAAGCCAGUUUCCAUUGCUGCCUUCCCUUCUCCUGCAUCCGCACUGUGACGGCCACUGUGAAAUACUGCCACUUGACUACUGUGUGUGAGGAUUUAAAAAUAAAUAAAUAAAGUGAACAAUCCUAAAUUUUUAAAAUCAAUGAGAUGAGGCAAAACAUCAAGCUAUUCUUCCCAUUUUGAAGAGGGAAGGGAAACAAGCAGUUUUCAAUGUCUCAUGGAGAACUAGGUAGCAAACAUUAAGCUGGCAAUGGGUGGUUAUGGAGUCAUGUGCAAGAUAUGCUGAAUGAGAUCUUGAAGACUAUACCAGAAGGGAUAGUGCUAUCCUGAAAGACAAAGAUAUUAAUACCUGCCACCUACUGGAAAACAAAGAUCUUGAUACUUGCCAUCUAUUUCCCAGGGUGUUGAUUUUAAAUCAGUUUUAAAAACAGUGCCCUGAUUUUUAGCAGAAGGCUGGAUGAAUACUUUGAUGAAAUUUCAAUCUUAAGCUAAUAAAAUG